AGUCAUGUUUUUCAACAAGAUGGAUACCACAAAGAGGUGUAGUGUGGCAUUACUUGCAUUCUCAUUGGCUCUUUUCAUCAUUGCAUCAGAUAUGAGUAUGAAAUCUGAAGCAAGGGGACCCAUUGUGCACCUUCACUGUUCUAGGGAUUCAGAUUGUGAUCAUCGUCCUUGUGCAUCAUGUGGUUGCAAAUGUAGAAACACUUAUUGUGUAUGUCAAUCAAAACCUGAUUUUUCUGAAAACAUUUCUACUCAUGCACCCACAAAUUGAGUAAUAAGGUUUUCUCAUGCAAUCCUAAGAGAGAAUCACAACACUAAAGGAUUGUAAUUUCUUCUUAAUUGUGUUUGCAAAUAAAGGUCCGAAUUUUGGCUUA